CAGCCGCCGCGGUAAUACGAAGGGUGCAAGCGUUACUCGGAAUUACUGGGCGUAAAGCGUGCGUAGGCGGUUUGUUAAGUCUGUUGUGAAAUCCCCGGGCUCAACCUGGGAAUGGCAGUGGAUACUGGCUCGCUAGAGUGUGUCAGAGGAUGGUGGAAUUCCCGGUGUAGCGGUGAAAUGCGUAGAGAUCGGGAGGAACAUCAGUGGCGAAGGCGGCCAUCUGGGACAACACUGACGCUGAGGCACGAAAGCGUGGGGAGCAAACAGGAUUAGAUACCCCAGUAGUCCCUGUCUCUUAUAC
rnacentral:rRNA from 1 species